rnacentral:rRNA from 1 species
UACGUAGGUGGCAAGCGUUGUCCGGAUUUACUGGGCGUAAAGAGCGCGCAGGCGGUCGUUUAAGUCGAAUGUGAAAGCCCCCGGCUCAACUGGGGAGGGUCAUUCGAUACUGAUCGACUUGAAGGCAGGAGAGGGAAGUGGAAUUCCGGGUGUAGUGGUGAAAUGCGUAGAUAUCUGGAGGAAUACCGGUGGCGAAGGCGGCAUCCUGGACCAUUACUGACGCUGAGGCGCGAAAGCUAGGGGAGCAAACGGG